rnacentral:rRNA from 1 species
GACGAACGCUGGCGGCGUGCCUAAUACAUGCAAGUCGAACGCAGUGGGGACGGGUGAGUAACACGUGGGUAACCGCCCAUCAGGGGGGAUAACACAUGGAAACAGGUGCUAAACCGAUAUUGCUGGUUGGAGCCGGGGAGCAUUAGCUAGUUGGUGAGGUAACGGCUCACAAAGGCGACGAUCCAUAACGGACCUGAGAGGGUGAUCAGCCACACUGGGACUGAGACACGGUCCAGACUCCUACGGGAGGCAGCAGUUGGGAAUCUUGGGCAAUGGACGAAAGCCUGACCGAGCAACGCCGCGUGAGUGAAGAAGGUUUUCGGAUCGUAAAACUCUGUUGUUAGAGAAGCGGUAUCUAACCAGAAAGCCACGGCUAACUACGUGCCAGCAGCCGCGGUAAUAC